AUCACCAAAGUUAAGCACUGUUGAGCUUGAUCAGUACUGAGAUGGGUGACUGCUUGGGAAUACCAGGUGCUGUAA